GCCGGGAUAGCUCAGCUGGGAGAGCAACAGACUGAAGCUUGUAAGGUGUCUUCUGGAGGUCCCGUGUUCAAUCCACGGUCCUGGCA
rfam:Phlebiopsis gigantea 11061_1 CR5-6 unplaced genomic scaffold PHLGIscaffold_50, whole genome shotgun sequence.